GAUGAACGCUGGCGGCGUGCCUAAUACAUGCAAGUCGAGCGAACAGAUGAGGAGCUUGCUCCUCUGACGUUAGCGGCGGACGGGUGAGUAACACGUGGAUAACCUACCUAUAAGACUGGGAUAACUUCGGGAAACCGGUGCUAAUACCGGAUAAUAUAUUGAACCGCAUGGUUCAAUAGUGAAAGACGGUUUUGCUGUCACUUAUAGAUGGAUCCGCGCCGCAUUAGCUAGUUGGUAAGGUAACGGCUUACCGAGGCAACGAUGCGUAGCCGACCUGAGAGGGUGAUCGGCCACACUGGAACUGAGACACGGUCCAGACUCCUACGGGAGGCAGCAGUAGGGAAUCUUCCGCAAUGGGCGAAAGCCUGACGGAGCAACGCCGCGUGAGUGAUGAAGGUCUUCGGAUCGUAAAACUCUGUUAUUAGGGAAGAACAAAUGUGUAAGUAACUAUGCACGUCUUGACGGUACCUAAUCAGAAAGCCACGGCUAACUACGUG
rnacentral:rRNA from 1 species